UAUAAAAGAGGGCCUUCUUCCAAAGGAAAAAUCAUCUUGGAAUACGACAAAAUACAGUACUGUGAAGCAAUCAAGUAUUACAGAGAUCAAGGCAUUCAGAGAGUUGAAGGUUUUCAUGUGCGGGAGCGAUUGAAGAUCAAAGUCAUCCAAUUACUUCUAAUGUGUAAUUUUUAUCUUGAAUUUGUUUUAAACACUAUGAAUAGCUAAACCCCUCAAUGUUAGGGGGUAUCCCUGAU
rnacentral:lncRNA from 1 species